UACGAGGGGGGCGAGCGUUGUCCGGAAUUAUUGGGCGUAAAGAGCGUGUAGGCGGCCCGAUUAGUCCGCUGUGAAAGUCCUGGGCUUAACCUGGGGACUGCAUUUGAUACUGAUUGGCUUGAAUGCAGGAGAGGAUAGCGGAAUUCCCAGUGUAGAGGUGAAAUUCGUAGAUAUUGGGAAGAACACCUGUGGCGAAAGCGGCGCACUGGACCACAACUGACGCUGAGGCGCGAAAGCUAGGGGAGCAAACAGG
rnacentral:rRNA from 1 species